rnacentral:rRNA from 1 species
GAACGCUGGCGGCAUGCCUUACACAUGCAAGUCGAACGGUAACGCGGGGCAACCUGGCGACGAGUGGCGAACGGGUGAGUAAUGCAUCGGAACGUGCCCAGUCGUCGGGGGAUAACGCAGCGAAAGCUGUGCUAAUACCGCAUACGAUCUAUGGAUGAAAGCGGGGGAUCGCAAGACCUCGCGCGAUUGGAGCGGCCGAUGUCAGAUUAGCUAGUUGGUGGGGUAAAGGCCCACCAAGGCGACGAUCUGUAGCUGGUCUGAGAGGACGACCAGCCACACUGGGACUGAGACACGGCCCCAGACUCCUACGGGAGGCAGCAGUGGGGAAUUUUGGACAAUGGGCGCAAGCCUGAUCCAGCAAUGCCGCGUGCAGGAAGAAGGCCUUCGGGUUGUAAACUGCUUUUGUACGGAGCGAAAAGGUCUUUCCUAAUACGGGAGGCUGAUGACGGUACCGUAAGAAUAAGCACCGGCUAACUACAUG